rnacentral:rRNA from 1 species
UCCCAUCUCGAACACGGAAGUUAAGCCCCUCAGGGCCGAUGAUACUGCACGGGUAGCUGUGUGGGAAAGUAGGUCGCCGCCGGGA